rnacentral:rRNA from 1 species
UACGUAGGGGGGCGAGCGUUGUCCGGAAUCAUUGGGCGUAAAGCGCGUGUAGGCGGCCCAGUCAGUCUGGUGUGAAAUCUCGGGGGCUUAACCCCCGAGCGGUCACUGGAUACUGCUGGGCUAGAGUCCGGAAGAGGAGAGUGGAAUUCCUGGUGUAGCGGUGGAAUGCGCAGAUAUCAGGAGGAACACCAAUGGCGAAGGCAGCUCUCUGGUACGGUACUGACGCUGAGACGCGAAAGCAUGGGGAGCGAACAGG